AUUGAACGCUGGCGGCGUGCCUAACACAUGCAAGGCGAACGGUAACAGGAAACAGCUUGCUGUUUCGCUGACGAGCGGCGGACGGGUGAGUAAUGUCUGGGAAACUGCCUGAUGGAGGGGGAUAACUACUGGAAACGGAAGCAAAUACCGCAUAUCGUAGCAAGACCAAAGAGGGGGACCUUCGGGCCUCUUGCAAUCGGAUGUGCCCAGAUGGGAUUAGCUUGUUGGUGGGGUAACGGCGCUCCAAGGCGACGGUCCCUAGCCGGUCUGCGAGGAGGACCAGCCACACUAGCACGGAGGGACGGUCCAGACUCCUACGGGAGGCAGCAGUGGGAAAUGUUGCGCAAUGGGGGCAAGCGUGAUGCAGCCAUGCCGCGUGUAUGAAGAUGGCGUGCGGGUUGUAAAGUACUUUCAGCGGGGAGGAAGUGAGUAAAGUUAAUACCUUUACUCAUUGACGUUACCCGCAGAAGAAGCACCGGCUAACUCCGUGCCAGCCGCCGCCGUAA
rnacentral:rRNA from 1 species